rnacentral:tRNA from 1 species
GGUAAAAUGGCUGAUUAAGGUGAUGGAUUGUAAAUCUAUUUAUGAGUGUAAACUCUUUUACCA